GAUUCUGUCACUCGUGAAUUAAAGUCAGCUCCUCCUAAUAGUCUCACAAUGCGUCUAGCCAAAGCUUUCUGUAACAUUCAUAAUGAUUAUGGUCUUAAAGCAAUGGCUCAUAUUUGGUAUGAAGUGAUACAGGAACUGCGCUACAGGUGGGAGAAUGGUAUAGCGUUACCAAGUUUAGGGAAGAGUCAUCCUGACAUGUCUUGUUGUCUCUUACAUCAGAAACUACAGGUAAACCAUUAUAUU